rnacentral:rRNA from 1 species
GACCGACGGGAGCUUGCUCCCUUAGGUCAGCGGCGGACGGGUGAGUAACACGUGGGUAACCUGCCUGUAAGACUGGGAUAACUCCGGGAAACCGGGGCUAAUACCGGAUGCUUGAUUGAACCGCAUGGUUCAAUCAUAAAAGGUGGCUUUUAGCUACCACUUGCAGAUGGACCCGCGGCGCAUUAGCUAGUUGGUGAGGUAACGGCUCACCAAGGCGACGAUGCGUAGCCGACCUGAGAGGGUGAUCGGCCACACUGGGACUGAGACACGGCCCAGACUCCUACGGGAGGCAGCAGUAGGGAAUCUUCCGCAAUGGACGAAAGUCUGACGGAGCAACGCCGCGUGAGUGAUGAAGGUUUUCGGAUCGUAAAACUCUGUUGUUAGGGAAGAACAAGUACCGUUCGAAUAGGGCGGUACCUUGACGGUACCUAACCAGAAAGCCACGGCUAACUACGUGCCAGCAGCCGCGGUAAUACGUAGGUGGCAAGCGUUGUCCGGAAUUAUUGGGCGUAAAGCGCGCGCAGGCGGUUUCUUAAGUCUGAUGUGAAAGCCCCCGGCUCAACCGGGGAGGGUCAUUGGAAACUGGGGAACUUGAGUGCAGAAGAGGAGAGUGGAAUUCCACGUGUAGCGGUGAAACGCGUA